rnacentral:lncRNA from 1 species
CGUGACCGGCGCACGAAUUAAUACUAGUCCGGCAAGCCUAAUGAUCGAAUUUGACAGACAAUAAAUAUAUUAUUUCCAAAUGACUAUUUACUUUAGAACAAUUUUACUGAAAUUUCGACAAAGUCUCAUCUAUAUUUUCAAUGUUUCUAAAUCAGAAUAAAUCCUGUUUGCAGCAUAUACAUCAUUCAGUCAAAAUUUUCAAAAUAUACAUGUUUAAAUUUAUACAUUUCAAAACAAGAUAUUCGUAGACUCAAAAUAGCUGCAGAUACUCGAUCAACUCCAAAUAUACAUAUACAAAAUAGUUUUUCAUCAAGAAGGCCUACCAAAAGAGUGACAUUGACAGAUCUUUANNN